rnacentral:tRNA from 1 species
UGUCAGAAGUGGGACUCGAACCCACUCCCACAAGAGUGGACUUCGACCUGAACGCAGCGCCUUAUAUCGCUCGGCCAUCCUGAC